AUUGAACGCUGGCGGCAGGCCUAACACAUGCAAGUCGAACGAGCGGCGGACGGGUGAGUAAUGUCUGGGAAACUGCCUGAUGGAGGGGGAUAACUCCUGGAAACGGUAGCUAAUACCGCAUACCCUCGGAUGUGCCCAGAUGGGAUUAGCUAGUAGGUGGGGUAAUGGCUCCCCUAGGCGCAGAUCCCUAGCUGGUCUGAGAGGAUGACCAGCCACACUGGAACUGAGACACGGUCCAGACUCCUACGGGAGGCAGCAGUGGGGAAUAUUGCACAAUGGGCGCAAGCCUGAUGCAGCCAUGCCGCGUGUAUGAAGAAGGCCUUCGGGUUGUAAAGUACUUUCAGCGGGGAGGCGUUACCCGCAGAAGAAGCACCGGCUAACUCCGUGCCAGCAGCCGCGGUAAUUC
rnacentral:rRNA from 1 species